AUCUGUUCUUAUCAGUUUAAUAUCUGAUACAUCAUCUAGCCAAAUAUAUAUAAAUGGAUAUUUGGAAGUAGGAGAUGGAAUAGGAGUUUGCUCCAUCUACUCCAUACAUUCACCUGGUAUUAUAGUACUCCUAGGAACAGUAC
rnacentral:snRNA from 1 species